GGAAUUGGACUGGUGUGUUAUGGCAUCUCGUGGCUCGUGUACAAGGAAUUUGAACCAGUGGGCGUGGCGAAGAAAAAUUUGGAGAUUAAUAACCAAGGAUAUCAGGGUGAUAUGGAUAAAAACGGCACAGAUACGAGAAUGUAAUGAUGCGGAGGUAUAUUGCUGAACUUGCCGCCAGGACAUGCAUUGUAAUUUUUGAAUUUUAAUUUUUGAAUUUCACAAAUUCAUUUGGAUCAAUAAUGCAUACAAUAUAUUAGGCAAAAAAAAUAAAAAUGUGGGUUUCCGGUUUCUUCUUAUAAAAACUUAGGUAGGGUAGGUCGGUUUUAACUUUUUUUUUUAAACUUUUUUUUAAUUUUCCGAACAAGCGGACGCCAUUUUGUUUAGUCAGUGCUUCCACAUCCAAAGAUAAAUUUUCCUAAUAUUGCCUCAAAUUUCAAUUUUCCACAAACUUUUUCUUCUAAGUGGAAACACUUACAACCAUGAUCCAAUAAAAAAGUUUAGGGUCGGGAUUUCGACGUCCAAAAGCUAGGUAGGGUCGGGAAACCGGAAACCCACAUAUUUUUUUUUGCCUUAUCAAUACAGUUACAUAUGAAUUAAUAACUUCAAGAUCCAAAAGGCAAGGUGCAUAUGGGUCCUUUUUCAGGAGUCCCGCGUUCGUACCAAUAAUUUAGAUUUUGUGUACUUAAAUGUUACACAUAUUAGUACCCAAAGGUUCCAGAAAAUAUUUGUCAAAAACAAUAAGACUUUGAUUUAAUGCACUUAUUGUUACUUUUAAAUUAAGUUCUUGAAUUAAUUUCAGACUCUUCUGUAUUUUGAAGGAAUAGAAUUCAAUCGCAAUAGCAAAAGUUGGGCAUAUUGGCUUCUUCAUAUAUAUAUCAACUUGUAUUUAAAGCCUAUAUAAGGCGUCAUAUACUUAUAUAUAGACAACCAGUGCCAGGCACAUUAACGGAUAUAACCUGUUUUGUAGGCAGUAUAUUUAUUUCAAUGUUUUGUGGUCAUAUACACUCGCGGUGUUUUGACUGUUUUGAUUUGUAAAAUUGAAAAUAGCUGUAACUAGUUAACAGGGUAUCUAAAAAAGGCGAACCUUUAGAAAUCCACCUGACUGUUAUAAUUUGAAUGCCAGAGUCCUAUACUAAACCAGGGCAAAGGGAAAAAACCCAUGGGGUGCCUAAACACAAUACACUCUUUCGAUAAUUACGUCACAACUGUUUUCAACUUAUGACCACCUUAAAUGGAAAGGAUUUCAAGUUUUUUUCUCAUGGGCUAUGCACAGAGAAGCAGAACAUCCUUCUUCAACACAUGCAUGAAAAAGAAUUCUUUAUUUUGACCAAUAAAUGUGGAAAUAAGCUUUAACACGAAAACGAGGCUCCAAGUCAUUUACCUGCUUAUUUAAUGCUUAUUUCCAUAUUUAUUGAUCAAAAUCCCAAAUUUUUUUCAUGCAUGUGUGUUGAAGAAGGAUGUUCUGCUUCUCUGUGCAUAGCCCAUGAGAAAAAAUCUUGAAAUCCUUUCCAUUUAAGGUGGUCCUAAGUUGAAAACAGUAUAGUUGUGACGUAAUUAUCGAAAGAGUGUAUUGAACCUGAAUUUGGUAUCGUUCAACAUAUGCAGAUUUCUAAAGGUUCACUUUUUUUGAGACAUUCUGUAGUAGUAUUUUUAUUGUUAAUUUUUUCUAAAAUAUAUUUUAUAUUGUC
rnacentral:lncRNA from 1 species